GAAACUCAAAGGAAUUGACGGGGGCCCGCACAAGCGGCGGAUUAUGUGGUUUAAUUCGAUGAUACGCGAGGUACCUUACCAAGGCUUAAAUGGGAAUUGAUCGGUUUAGAAAUAGACCUUCCUUCGGGCAAUUUUCAAGGUGCUGCAUGGUUGUCGUCAGCUCGUGCCGUGAGGUGUUAGGUUAAGUCCUGCAACGAGCGCAACCCCUGUCACUAGUUGCCAUCAUUCAGUUGGGGACUCUAGUGAGACUGCCUACGCAAGUAGAGAGGAAGGUGGGGAUGACGUCAAAUCAUCACGGCCCUUACGCCUUGGGCCACACACGUAAUACAAUGGCCGGUACAGAGGGCAGCUACACAGCGAUGUGACGCAAAUCUCGAAAGCCGGUCUCAGUUCGGAUUGGAGUCUGCAACUCGACUCUAUGAAGCUGGAAUCGCUAGUAAUCGCGCAUCAGCCAUGGCGCGGUGAAUACGUUCCCGGGCCUUGUACACACCGCCCGUCAAGCCAUGGAAGUCUGGGGUACCUGAAGUCGGUGACCGUAAAAGGAGCUGCCUAGGGUAAAACAGGUAACUAGGGCUAAGUCGUAAC
rnacentral:rRNA from 1 species